UACCGGCGGCCCGAGUGGCGGUCACUAUUAUUGGGCUUAAAGCGUCCGUAGCCGGGUUGGGAAGUCCUCCGGGAAAUCUGGCCGCUUAACGGUCGGAAUGCCGGAGGAUACUCCCAGCCUAGGGAGCGGGAGAGGCCGAGGGUAUUCCCGGAGUAGGGGUGAAAUCCUAUAAUCCCGGGAGGACCACCUGUGGCGAAGGCGCUCGGCUGGAACGCGUCCGACGGUGAGGGACGAAGGCCAGGGGAGCAAACCGG
rnacentral:rRNA from 1 species